UGGUAUCGGAUAUCGGCACGAG
rnacentral:misc_RNA from 1 species